GGGUGUAUAGCUCAGUGUUAGAGCAUGUGCCUAGCAUACACAAGGUCCUGGGCUCAAUCUCCCGUCCCUCCA
rnacentral:tRNA from 1 species